rnacentral:rRNA from 1 species
UGCCAGACUCCUACGGGAGGCAGCAGUGGGGAAUAUUGCACAAUGGGGGAAACCCUGAUGCAGCGACGCCGCGUGAAGGACGAAGUAUUUCGGUACGUAAACUUCUAUCAGCAGGGAAGAAAAUGACGGUACCUGACCAAGAAGCCCCGGCUAACUACGUGCCAGCAGCCGCGGUAAUACGUAGGGGGCAAGCGUUAUCCGGAUUUACUGGGUGUAAAGGGAGCGUAGACGGCCAUGCAAGUCUGAUGUGAAAACCCGGGGCUCAACCCCGGGACUGCAUUGGAAACUGUGCGGCUGGAGUGUCGGAGAGGCAAGUGGAAUUCCUAGUGUAGCGGUGAAAUGCGUAGAUAUUAGGAGGAACACCAGUGGCGAAGGCGGCUUGCUGGACGACGACUGACGUUGAGGCUCGAAAGCGUGGGGAGCAAACAGGAUUAGAUACCCUGGUACC